rnacentral:rRNA from 1 species
CGGAUUUACUGGGCGUAAAGGGCGCGUAGGCGGCCAUUCAGGUCAGCUGUGAAAUCUCCGGGCUUAACUCGGAACGGUCAGCUGAUACUGCUUUGCUAGAGUGCAGAAGGGGCAAUCGGAAUUCUUGGUGUAGCGGUGAAAUGCGUAGAUAUCAGGAGGAACACCAACGGCGAAGGCAGCUCGCUGGGACGGUACUGACGCUGAGGCGCGAAAGCGUGGGGAGCGAACAGG